rnacentral:lncRNA from 1 species
GAUUUGUUUGCGUAUUGGCCGAGAAAGAAGGACCGUUUGUUGUUCAGCUAGUUGCUUGGCAAGUUGCCCCACUUGAGUUUCAAGAUUUUUUAUGGCCGCGUCAUUACUCUUUUGAUUGGCCAUUGACAUUUGCAUGAAUUGCGUCAAUGUCUCUUCCAAUUUAGAAUUGACUACCGGCGGUUGUUGAGAUUGAUACGGAUUUUGGGGAGGAUUUUGACGGCUAGAAGAACCACCUCCAUAACCUUGGUUAUGAUAAUAGUUG